GAGAGAGACAGAAAGGAGAGAGGAGGGCCACAGAGAGAUUUUUUCUGGAGCAAUACUUUCACUCAGAGAACCAAGAAGGCCCCUGAAGCAUCACACAUCUUCAUCAUUGAGCUGGUCCAGGGAGUAGAGGAGGAGGGGGCAGGACCAAAGCUACAUUUUUGCUGCAGGUGUAGCUUUUGGCCAUAUAACUGCAAGUUUAUGAUGAGAAGAGAAGAAAGGAUACGAUGCCCUUGAGUGAUUCCAGCCAGCUGACCUUCACAAGAGGAGGGAAAAACUAUUUGUACAGUAUCAGAUCAGCUUCAAGAGUACUGCAGAAUCACUGGCAGUCAGGUCAUUUUCCUGUCAACUGAAGAGAAACAUUAUGUGCCAGAGGCACUGGGCAGGAGACGUCCCCUCCUACACAGAGCAGCAGUGAGAGCCUCGCCCUGUGCACACUCAGCUGUCCUAUCCUGUGGUGUGUCCUGGGAGACGCUAGUCCGGUGAAACGCUCCAUGCUGUGGGCAAGUGAGUUUAGGAAAUGCAGCAUCAGCUCUCUCCCUUUUAGAAAUUCACACUGUGUAUGAGCAGAGCAAAGUCUCCACAGUGUACUAUAAAGUGGUUUACCUAAAGCCCCAUGACCUGACCAUGGAACUUCCCUCCUUCUUUUAUUCCAUGGCUGAACUAAAGCUUUACAAUACACACCUUGGGAAACCCUAAACUGUGUCAUAUUAAAAGCACCACAA
ensembl:lncRNA